CGGAGGGUGCAAGCGUUAUCCGGAUUCACUGGGUUUAAAGGGAGCGUAGGUGGGUUGGUAAGUCAGUGGUGAAAUCUCCGAGCUUAACUUGGAAACUGCCAUUGAUACUAUCAGUCUUGAAUAUUGUGGAGGUCAGCGGAAUAUGUCAUGUAGCGGUGAAAUGCUUAGAUAUGACAUAGAACACCAAUUGCGAAGGCAGCUGGCUACGCAUAUAUUGACACUGAGGCUCGAAAGCGUGGGGAUCAAACAGGAUUAGAUACCCUGGUAGUCCACGCCCUAAACUAUGGAUACUCGACAUACGCGAUACACUGUGUGUGUCUGAGCGAAAGCAUUAAGUAUCCCACCUGGGAAGUACGAUCGCAAGAUUG
rnacentral:rRNA from 1 species